rnacentral:rRNA from 1 species
AGAGUUUGAUCAUGGCUCAGAUUGAACGCUGGCGGCAGGCCUAACACAUGCAAGUCGAGCGGGAUGAAGAGAGCUUGCUCUCUGAUUCAGCGGCGGACGGGUGAGUAAUGGCUAGGAAUCUCAGCCUGGUAGUGGGGGACAACGUUUCGAAAGGAACGCUAAUACCGCAUACGUCCUACGGGAUCAGAAAGCAGGGGACCUUCGGGCCUUGCGCUAUCAGAUGAGCCUAGGUCGGAUUAGCUAGUUACCUGGUGAGGUAAUGGCUCACCAAGGCGACGAUCCGUAACUGGUCUGAGAGGAUGAUCAGUCAAAGGGCACUGGAACUGAGACACGGUCCAGACUCCUACGGGAGGCAGCAGUGGGGAAUAUUGGACAUUAGAAUGGGCGAAAGCCUGAUCCAGCCACGCCGCGUGUGUGAAGAAGGUCUUCGGAUUGUAAAGUUACACUUUAAGUUGGGAGGAAGGGUUGUAGAUUAAUACUCUGCAAUUUUGACGUUACCGACACCGAAUAAGCACCGGCUAACUCUGUGCCAGCAGCCGCGGUAAUACAGAGGGUGCAAGCGUUACAUCGGAAUUACUGGGCGUAAAGCGCGCGUAGGUGGUUUGUUAAGUCGGAUGUGAAAUCCCUCGGGCUCAACCUGGGAACUGCAUCCGAAACUGGCAAGCUAGAGUAUGGUAGAGGGUAGUGCGAAUUUCCUGUGUAGCGGUGAAAUGCGUAGAUAUAGGAAGGAACACCAGUGGCGAAGGCGAACUACCUGGACUGAUACUGACACUGAGGUGCGAAAGCGUGGGGAGCAAACAGGAUUAGAUCACCCUGGUAGUCCACGCCGUAAACGAUGUCAACUAGCCGUUGGGGUCCUUGAGACUUUAGCUGGCGCAGCUAACGCAUUAAGUUGACCGCCUGGGGAGUACGGCCGCAAGGUUAAAACUCAGAAUGAAUUGACGGGGGCCCGCACAAGCGGUGGAGCAUGUGGUUUAAUUCGAAGCAACACGUAAAGAACCUUACCAGGCCUUGACAUCCAAUGAACUUUCCAGAGAUGGAUGGGUGCCUUCGGUGUGAACAUUGAGACAGGUGCUGCAUGGCUGUCGUCAGCUCGUGUCGUGAGAUGUUGGGUUAACUUUAGUCCCGUAACGAGCGCAACCCUUGUCCUUAGUUACCAGCACGUUAUGGUGGGCACUCUAAUGUCCGGAGACUGCCGGUGACAAACCGGAGGAAGGUGGGGAUGACGUCAAGUCAUCAUGGCCCUUUGACACGGCCUGGGCUACACACGUGCUACAAUGGUCGGUACAGAGGGUUGCCAAGCCGCGAGGUAACGGAGCUAAUCUCACAAAACCGAUCGUAGUCCGGAUCGCAGUCUGCAACUCGACUGCGUGAUCAGUCGGAAUCGCUAGUAAUCGCGAAUCAGAAUGUCGCGGUGAAUACGUUCCCGGGCCUUGAUACACACCGCCCGUCACACCAUGGGAGUGGGUUGCGCCAGAAGUAGCUAGUCUAACCUUCGCUCGGGGAGGACGGUUACCACGGUGUGAUUCAUGACUGGGGUGAAGUCGUAACAAGGUAACCGU